GAAAGACUCUCGGCAACGGAUAUCUCGGCUCUUGCAUCGAUGAAGAACGUAGCGAAAUGCGAUACUUGGUGUGAAUUGCAGAAUCCCGUGAACCAUCGAGUCUUUGAACGCAAGUUGCGCCCGAAGCCAUUAGGCUGAGGGCACGCCUGCCUGGGUGUCGCCCA
rnacentral:rRNA from 4 species